AGAGAUGGAUUGGUGCCUUCGGGAACGUCUGACACAGGUGCUGCAUGGCUGUCGUCAGCUCGUGUCGUGAGAUGUUGGGUUAAGUCCGUAACGAGCGCAACCCUUGUCCUUAGUUACCAGCACGUUAUGGUGGGCACUCUAAGGAGACUGCCGGUGACAAACCGGAGGAAGGUGGGGAGUGACGUCAAGUCAUCAUGGCCCUUACGGCCUGGGCUACACACGUGCUACAAUGGUCGGUACAAAGGGUUGGCCAAGCCGCGAGGUGGAGGCUAAUCCCAUAAAACCGAUCGUAGUCCGGAUCGCAGUCUGCAACUCGGCUGCGUGAAGUCGGAAUCGCUAGUAAUCGUGAAUCAGAAUGUCACGGUGAAUACGUUCCCGGGCCUU
rnacentral:rRNA from 1 species